rnacentral:rRNA from 1 species
GAUGAACGCUGGCGGCGUGCCUAAUACAUGCAAGUCGAGCGAACAGACGAGGAGCUUGCUCCUCUGACGUUAGCGGCGGACGGGUGAGUAACACGUGGAUAACCUACCUAUAAGACUGGGAUAACUUCGGGAAACCGGAGCUAAUACCGGAUAAUAUAUUGAACCGCAUGGUUCAAGAGUGAAAGACGGUUUUGCUGUCACAUAUAGAUGGAUCCGCGCCGCAUUAGCUAGUUGGUAAGGUAACGGCUUACCAAGGCGACGAUGCGUAGCCGACCUGAGAGGGUGAUCGGCCACACUGGAACUGAGACACGGUCCAGACUCCUACGGGAGGCAGCAGUAGGGAAUCUUCCGCAAUGGGCGAAAGCCUGACGGAGCAACGCCGCGUGAGUGAUGAAGGUCUUCGGAUCGUAAAACUCUUUUAUUAGGGAAGAACAAAUGUGUAAGUAACUAUGCACGUCUUGACGGUACCUAAUCAGAAAGCCCCGGCUAACUACGUG